CAAUCGGCCCUUUUCAGGGCCACCAAAUCUUAAAGAAAGAGAAAA
rfam:Daphnia magna strain Xinb3 scaffold01581, whole genome shotgun sequence.